rfam:Canis lupus familiaris chromosome 11, whole genome shotgun sequence.
GCCCCUUGCAGUGGUACAUGCCUGUAGUGCCAUUUACUGGGGAGGCUGCAGCAGGAGGAUGGAUUGAGCCCAGGAGUUCUGAGCUGCAGUGAGCUGUGCCCAUCAGGUGUCUGCACUAAAUUCAGUUUCAAUAUGGUGACCUUCCGGGAAUAGGAAACACCAGGUUGCUUAAGGAGGGUUGAGCUGGCCCAGGUUGGAAACAGAGCAGGUCAAAACUCCCAUACCGAUCAAUAAAGGAGCAGAUCCUCAGAUGCUGCCACUCAUCAUCUAUAUAUUUUAAUACUUAUGACU